UAUACAACAAAGCAAAUUAAUACUAAUCCCUUACAACAUAUAUGAGUUCCAAAUACACUAUUAACUGAGGUCAGAAGUUGCUACAAAAUACAAAUGUCAAAAUAUAAAAAGGGUCACUUUUAUCAUUAUGCUAUUAGACUCAUAAGAGUGCGAAAACAACCAUGCACUCAAGGUUUACGGAUCCACAAAAUCCUCAUAAACUUCAGUGGGUAGGUCAGCUGACAGUCCCUCAUUGUCUUCCUCAUCUUUAGGGGGGAGAGUAUGGAAAGAGUGAGUUCUAUAUGUUCAGUAAAAAAAAUAAUAUUUAGAU
rnacentral:lncRNA from 1 species